CAGUCGGAGAGAGAAGGGUGGAGCCAGAGCCGGUGGAAGGGAACGUGCUGUGCAUAAUUCUUGCCGCCCGGAGCAAGCAAAUUGGUGCCAAGUACCAUGGGUUGUGCCCUACCAGCUUUUCUGCUAGUGAGAGAGGGAGAAGCUUUUGACUACCAAGGCAGCUAUGGCGGGGACUGCGCAAUCCACAUUGGCCAAAGCCAUACAAGAUUGGAACUGCAGGAAAAGAAUCGGGCAAAAUCAAAUGGAAAAAACAAAAGUCAUUUCCUGGAUAUGUCAGGAAGGCAAAUCUUGGGCAAACGUUAAGGUUCCUCCUCGCUGGGAUAACACAGCAAACACCGCAAUCCUCUUCUGAUGGUAUUGCAAGAAACACAUUCAUGGCCGAUGAUACCUGCGACAGAUGUAAAAAGAACCCACAGUUCGUAUUUGAAAAACCGUCAAAGAAACACAGACCGCCGAGGCCCAAAGUAGAGGAGAAGCCAACAUGACCAAUUACAUUGUUCUGCAAUUACGUGGCCAAUUACGUUGUUCUACGCAGGAAUGCGUGAAGCUGCCUUAUAGCAAGUCAGACAACUGAUCUAUUAAGGUCAGUAUAGUCCACUCUGACUGGCAGUGGCUCUCCAGUCUAACAUCACCUACUAUCCAGUUUAUACUCUGGUUUCUCUUCAGAUCACAUAAAUCUUUCGCCUUUUACUUAC